UAUUCUCAUUUUUGCCCCCCUUGCUCUCUUUUUUUCUCUUGCUUUCUUUCCAUUGCUUUCUCCCGAGAGAUGCUAGUCAGUACGGGUUCGGCCUUUGAUCUUCCCCAGCCUUUCAUGGAACAAAGCUUACCUUCGUUCUCUCUUGUCUUUUUCUUUCUUUUUUAUUUUUCUGUAAAAAUGCAGUUUUAGCGAGGGUGACCGAGAAAGAAAGAGAAACAGAGAAAGAGAAAAAGCGAGAGCUCAUCGUCCCAAGGUGGAAGUGUCUCAUUGCAGUGAAAAAAGCUCAGGGUUCCCACUGAUUUUCCAUCAUUGGUGGUUCUGAUGGAAACCUGUUUACCCACCCGAGGUUAAGGAAUGAAGUCGAGACUGCCAUGCCAACAAUGCUGCUCCUGCCAGAUGUGACGGAAACCUGGCGUGUUUGCACCAAGAACUCACUACAGACUUUAUUACA